UACGGAGGGGGCUAGCGUUGUUCGGAAUUACUGGGCGUAAAGCGCACGUAGGCGGCUUUGUAAGUUAGAGGUGAAAGCCCGGGGCUCAACUCCGGAAUUGCCUUUAAGACUGCAUCGCUAGAAUUGUGGAGAGGUAAGUGGAAUUCCGAGUGUAGAGGUGAAAUUCGUAGAUAUUCGGAAGAACACCAGUGGCGAAGGCGGCGAUCUGGGAAGAUACUGACGCUGAGGUGCGAAAGCGUGGGGAGCAAACAGG
rnacentral:rRNA from 1 species